rnacentral:rRNA from 1 species
UAGGGAAUCUUGCGCAAUGGGGGAAACCCUGACGCAGCGAUGCCGCGUGAGUGAGGAAGGCCUUCGGGUUGUAAAGCUCUGUCGAGAGGGAAAAAUAGCACUUUAGGUAAUAUUUAAGGUGUUUGAUGGUACCUUUAAAGGAAGCACCGGCUAACUUCGUGCCAGCAGCCGCGGUAAUACGAAGGGUGCAAGCGUUGUUCGGAUUUACUGGGCGUAAAGGGUGCGUAGGCGGAUAAAUAAGUCAGAUGUGAAAUCUCGGGGCCUAACUCCGAACGUGCGUCUGAAACUGUUUAUCUAGAAUCUCGGAGAGGAAAGAGGAAUUUCGCAUGUAGGGGUAAAAUCCGUAGAGAUGCGAAGGAAGAUCAGGAGUGAAAACGUCUUUCUGGACGAGAAUUGACGC